rnacentral:rRNA from 1 species
GAGUAAUACAUAGGUAACCUGCCCCUGUGCGGGGGAUAACAGGAGGAAACUCCUGCUAAUACCGCAUAGCCAUGAGCACCGCAUGGAGCUCAUGCCAAAUAUCCUUUCGGGGAUAGCGCAGGGAUGGACCUAUGGCGCAUUAGCUUGUUGGCGGGACAACGGCCCACCAAGGCAACGAUGCGUAGCCGGCCUGAGAGGGCGGACGGCCACAUUGGGACUGAGACACGGCCCAGACUCCUACGGGAGGCAGCAGUAGGGAAUUUUCGGCAAUGGGGGAAACCCUGACCGAGCAACGCCGCGUGAGCGAAGAAGGCCUUCGGGUCGUAAAGCUCUGUUGUAAAGGAAGAACGGCGCAUACAGGAAAUGGUAUGCGAGUGACGGUACUUUACCAGAAAGCCACGGCUAACUACGUGCCAGCAGCCGCGGUAAUACGUAGGUGGCGAGCGUUAUCCGGAAUCAUUGGGCGUAAAGAGGGAGCAGGCGGCCGCAAGGGUCUGUGGUGAAAGACCGAAGCUAAACUUCGGUAAGCCAUGGAAACCGGGCGGCUAGAGUGCGGAAGAGGAUCGUGGAAUUCCAUGUGUAGCGGUGAAAUGCGUAGAUAUAUGGAGGAACACCAGUGGCGAAGGCGACGGUCUGGGCCGCAACUGACGCUCAUUCCCGAAAGCGUGGGGAGCAAAUAGGAUUAGAUACCCUAGUAGUCCACGCCGUAAACGAUGGUCACUAAGUGUCGGGGGUCAAACCCCGGUGCUGCAG